UACGUAGGGGGCUAGCGUUGUCCGGAAUCAUUGGGCGUAAAGCGCGCGUAGGCGGCCCGGUAAGUCCGUUGUAAAAGUCAAAGGCUCAACCUUUGAAAGCCGAUGGAUACUGCCGGGCUAGAGUCCGGAAGAGGCGAGUAGAAUUCCUGGUGUAGCGGUGGAAUGCGCAGAUAUCAGGAGGAACACCGGUGGCGAAGGCGGGUCUCUGGGCAGUAACUGACGCUGAGGAGCGAAAGCGUGGGGAGCGAACAGG
rnacentral:rRNA from 1 species